GCACACACUGGGAAUCUAGGAACACGGUCAGAUCCUAACCGGAGGCAGCAGUACGGAUCUCGCAUGACGAAGUCUGACCGAGCAACGCCGGCGUGAGUGAUGAAGUUUCGAUCGUAAAACUCUGUUGUAGGAAGAACAAGUACCGUUCGAAUAGGGCGGCACCUGACGGUACCUAACCAGAAAGCACGGCUAACUACGUGCCAGCAGCGCCGGUAAUACGUAGGUGGCAAGCGUGUCCGGAAUUAUUGGGCGUAAAGCGCGCGCAGGCGGUUUCUUAAGUCUGAUGUGAAAGCCCCCGGCUCAACCGGGGAGGGUCAUUGGAAACUGGGGAACUUGAGUGCAGAAGAGGAGAGUGGAAUUCCACGUGUAGCGGUGAAAUGCGUAGAGAUGUGGAGGAACACCAGUGGCGAAGGCGACUCUCUGGUCUGUAACUGACGCUGAGGCGCGAAAGCGUGGGGAGCGAACAGGAUUAGAUACCCUGGUAGUCCACGCCGUAAACGAUGAGUGCUAAGUGUUAGAGGGUUUCCGCCCUUUAGUGCUGCAGCAAACGCAUUAAGCACUCCGCCUGGGGAGUACGGUCGCAAGACUGAAACUCAAAGGAAUUGACGGGGGCCCGCACAAGCGGUGGAGCAUGUGGUUUAAUUCGAAGCAACGCGAAGAACCUUACCAGGUCUUGACAUCCUCUGACAACCCUAGAGAUAGGGCUUCCCCUUCGGGGGCAGAGUGACAGGUGGUGCAUGGUUGUCGUCAGCUCGUGUCGUGAGAUGUUGGGUUAAGUCCCGCAACGAGCGCAACCCUUGAUCUUAGUUGCCAGCAUUCAGUUGGGCACUCUAAGGUGACUGCCGGUGACAAACCGGAGGAAGGUGGGGAUGACGUCAAAUCAUCAUGCCCCUUAUGACCUGGGCUACACACGUGCUACAAUGGGCAGAACAAAGGGCAGCGAAGCCGCGAGGCUAAGCCAAUCCCACAAAUCUGUUCUCAGUUCGGAUCGCAGUCUGCAACUCGACUGCGUGAAGCUGGAAUCGCUAGUAAUCGCGGAUCAGCAUGCCGCGGUGAAUACGUUCCCGGGCCUUGUACACACCGCCCGUCACACCACGAGAGUUUGUAACACCCGAAGUCGGUGAGGUAACCUUUUGGAGCCAGCCGCCGAAGGUGGGACAGAUGAUGGGGGAAGUCGAACAAAGAGCCCC
rnacentral:rRNA from 1 species